UACAGGGGGAGCAAGCGUUGUUCGGAUUUACUGGGCGUAAAGGGCGCGCAGGCGGCUCAUUUUGUCAGGCGUGAAAGCCCCGGGCUUAACCUGGGAACUGCGUUUGAUACGGAUGGGCUAGAGUUCGGGAGAGGAGAGUGGAAUUCCCAGUGUAGAGGUGAAAUUCGUAGAUAUUGGGAAGAACACCGGUGGCGAAGGCGGCUCUCUGGACCGAUACUGACGCUGAGGCGCGAAAGCGUGGGGAGCAAACAGG
rnacentral:rRNA from 1 species